rnacentral:lncRNA from 1 species
CAGUAACUCUAUAGAGAAAUAAAGGGUUUUCCCAAUCCUGGAAAAAAAUGGUUAAAAUUGUAAAUCUUACAUAUAUUUUACCAUAGUAAAAAAUGAAUUAGGCUGGGCCCAUGGCUCACACCUACAAUCCCAGCACUUUGGGAGGCUGAGGCAGGCAAAUCGUUUGAGGCCAGGAGUUCAAAACCAGCCUGGCCAACAUGGCAAAACUCAUCUCUACUAAAAAUACAAAGAAAAUAGCCAGGCAUGGUGGCACACACCUGUAAUCCCAGCUACUCAGGAGGCUGAGGCAUGAGAAUUGCUUGAACCUGGAAGGCAGACAUUGGAGUGAGCUGAGAUCUUCCCACUGCACUCCAGCCUGGGUGACAUAGCUAGACUGUCUCAAAAAAAAAAAAAAAAAGAAUGAACACUUAAAUAUUUGUGGCAGAUAGAGGUGUUAUUUGCAUAUGGAAGAAAAUUGCUUUAGAAAUGAAAUUUCAGAUUACUGAAACUAAAGAGAAAGUAUCUCUUCUUAUCAUGGUACCAAGCUUGAGGGUGCAUAAGUCACCUAUAGACGAAAUAAGCAUUGAGUUUCAUUUUUUGUUUGUUUUUGAGACAGGUUCUCACUGUUACCCAGCCUGGAGUGCAGUGGUACAAUUGUAGCUCACUGCAGCCUGGACCUCCUGGGAUCAAGGGAUUCCCCCAACCUCAGCCUCCCAAGUAGCUGGGACUAUAGAAAUGCAACACCAUGCCCAGAUAAUUUAAUUUUUUUUUUUUUUUUUUUUUUUUUGUAGAGACAGGGGUUUCUCUUUGUCACCCAGGCUGGCCUCAAACUCCUGGGCUCAAGCAGUCUUCCCACCUUUCCCUCCCAAAGUGCUGGGAUUACAGGCGUGAGCCACUGCAUCCUGCCGAGAAAAUCAUUUUUUAUUUAAAUAAUGUCAAAUGGAAGUAUGUAGCACCCCCCCCCCACCUUCUUUUCCCCUUUCUUUCCUCUUUGAGUCUGCUGUCAUUCCCUUUUUCAUGAGUUUUCUCUGCUCCCCAAAUAGGCUAAACAAUAACCGUAAAGUGAGAUUAGAGAAAAUAAGAAUGGAGUAGAUGAUGGAAUUCAAAAUAGCUGUCUACAUUCUUCACUGAGAAAGAUAGCUUUGAGUUAAAGGUGAGAGGAGCAAAUCUGGGGAAAAACGGGUGAAACGGCAUGAUUUAAGUAGCAUACCAGAUGCGUUUCUGCAUGGCAUGGCUCUUGCUUGAUGAAUAAUGUUCUGUAUAGUAGAAGAGGAAAAUACAGUGAGUGAAGGAGCUGGCAGAAGGUGGGCUGGGGGAGUUGGGGAAGAGUGAAAUGAGUAUGGAGAGGUGAGAGAGCUGACUGCAAAGGCAUGUGGGGUGUGGAUUUUAAAAGGAAAGCCCUGAGGUGGAAAUCACUAACAUGGUGCCUGGCUACAAGCAGAGGGAGCUCAGGACUUGACUGUGCUGGGGGUGGCCUGCCCUUUUGUAGUGCAGUUGAGGAGAGCUCAGGGGCUGUCAGAAUGCUGUGUGGGAAGGUGGAGGAUGAAAGAGGACCUGGGAGCAGCAACUUUGUUCUGGUUUGUUGUUUUCUCUUCCCUACCUCGUAUGUACUCCCACUCAGGAAAAGAUCCUGAGACCUCUCUGUACCAGAUCCUCUUAUACCCAGGUUCUCCUUAAUCCCAAUCAACUUUAAUCUAUAAAGUUACGAUUUGUUUACUUAUAAAUUUAUUUUUAAUAAAGUUGUGAAACCG